AUUGAACGCUGGCGGCAGGCUUAACACAUGCAAGUCGAGCGGAUGACGGGAGCUUGCUCCUUGAUUCAGCGGCGGACGGGUGAGUAAUGCCUAGGAAUCUGCCUGGUAGUGGGGGACAACGUUUCGAAAGGAACGCUAAUACCGCAUACGUCCUACGGGAGAAAGCAGGGGACCUUCGGGCCUUGCGCUAUCAGAUGAGCCUAAGUCGGAUUAGCUAGUUGGUGGGGUAAAGGCCUACCAAGGCGACGAUCUGUAGCGGGUCUGAGAGGAUGAUCCGCCACACUGGGACUGAGACACGGCCCAGACUCCUACGGGAGGCAGCAGUGGGGAAUAUUGGACAAUGGGCGGAAGCCUGAUCCAGCUAUGCCGCGUGUGUGAAGAAGGCCUUUUGGUUGUAAAGCACUUUAAGCGAGGAGGAGGCUACUUAGAUUAAUACUCUGGGAUAGUGGACGUUACUCGCAGAAUAAGCACCGGCUAACUCUGUGCCAGCAGCCGCAGUAA
rnacentral:rRNA from 1 species